rnacentral:rRNA from 1 species
AGGACGAACGCUGGCGGUGUGCUUCACACAUGCAAGUCGAACGGGGUAGCAAUACCUAGUGGCGGACGGGUGAGUAACGCGUGGGAAUCUGCCUUAAGAUGGGGGAUAGCAAGCCGAAAGGCUUAUUAAUACCGCAUAUGUAUUUAUCCAGACAUGGGUAUCUAUGAAAGGAGUAAUCCGUCUUAAGAUGAGCCCGCGUCCGAUUAGCUAGUUGGUAGGGUAAAGGCCUACCAAGGCGACGAUCGGUAGGUGGUCUGAGAGGAUGAUCACCCACAAUGGGACUGAGACACGGCCCAUACUCCUACGGGAGGCAGCAGUGGGGAAUUUUGUGCAAUGGGCGAAAGCCUGACACAGCGACACCGCGUGGAUGAAGAAGCCCUUUGGGGUGUAAAAUCCUGUCGGCUGGAACGAAAAAAUGACGGUACCAGCAGAGGAAGCAUCGGCUAACUACGUGCCAGCAGCCGC